GAUGAACGCUGGCGGCGUGCCUAAUACAUGCAAGUCGAGCGAACGGACGAGAAGCUUGCUUCUCUGAUGUUAGCGGCGGACGGGUGAGUAACACGUGGAUAACCUACCUAUAAGACUGGGAUAACUUCGGGAAACCGGAGCUAAUACCGGAUAAUAUUUUGAGCCGCAUGGUUCAAAAGUGAAAGACGGUCUUGCUGUCACUUAUAGAUGGAUCCGCGCUGCAUUAGCUAGUUGGUAAGGUAACGGCUUACCAAGGCAACGAUGCAUAGCCGACCUGAGAGGGUGAUCGGCCACACUGGAACUGAGACACGGUCCGGACUCCUACGGGAGGCAGCAGUAGGGAAUCUUCCGCAAUGGGCGAAAGCCUGACGGAGCAACGCCGCGUGAGUGAUGAAGGUCUUCGGAUCGUAAAACUCUGUUAUUAGGGAAGAACAUAUGUGUAAGUAACUGUGCACAUCUUGACGGUACCUAAUCAGAAAGCCACGGCUAACUACGUGCCAGCAGCCGCGGUAAUACGUAGGUGGCAAGCGUUAUCCGGAAUUAUUGGGCGUAAAGCGCGCGUAGGCGGUUUUUUAAGUCUGAUGUGAAAGCCCACGGCUCAACCGUGGAGGGUCAUUGGAAACUGGAAAACUUGAGUGCAGAAGAGGAAAGUGGAAUUCCAUGUGUAGCGGUGAAAUGCGCAGAGAUAUGGAGGAACACCAGUGGCGAAGGCGACUUUCUGGUCUGUAACUGACGCUGAUGUGCGAAAGCGUGGGGAUCAAACAGGAUUAGAUACCCUGGUAGUCCACGCCGUAAACGAUGAGUGCUAAGUGUUAGGGGGUUUCCGCCCCUUAGUGCUGCAGCUAACGCAUUAAGCACUCCGCCUGGGGAGUACGACCGCAAGGUUGAAACUCAAAGGAAUUGACGGGGACCCGCACAAGCGGUGGAGCAUGUGGUUUAAUUCGAAGCAACGCGAAGAACCUUACCAAAUCUUGACAUCCUUUGACAACUCUAGAGAUAGAGCCUUCCCCUUCGGGGGACAAAGUGACAGGUGGUGCAUGGUUGUCGUCAGCUCGUGUCGUGAGAUGUUGGGUUAAGUCCCGCAACGAGCGCAACCCUUAAGCUUAGUUGCCAUCAUUAAGUUGGGCACUCUAAGUUGACUGCCGGUGACAAACCGGAGGAAGGUGGGGAUGACGUCAAAUCAUCAUGCCCCUUAUGAUUUGGGCUACACACGUGCUACAAUGGACAAUACAAAGGGCAGCGAAACCGCGAGGUCAAGCAAAUCCCAUAAAGUUGUUCUCAGUUCGGAUUGUAGUCUGCAACUCGACUACAUGAAGCUGGAAUCGCUAGUAAUCGUAGAUCAGCAUGCUACGGUGAAUACGUUCCCGGGUCU
rnacentral:rRNA from 1 species